UACGAAGGGGGCUAGCGUUGUUCGGAAUUACUGGGCGUAAAGCGCACGUAGGCGGAUAUUUAAGUCAGGGGUGAAAUCCCAGAGCUCAACUCUGGAACUGCCUUUGAUACUGGGUAUCUCGAGUAUGGAAGAGGUGAGUGGAAUUCCGAGUGUAGAGGUGAAAUUCGUAGAUAUUCGGAGGAACACCAGUGGCGAAGGCGGCUCACUGGUCCAUUACUGACGCUGAGGAGCGAAAGCCAGGGGAGCAAACGGG
rnacentral:rRNA from 1 species